CAUAUUGCUAUACCGCUGCAGCAACUGCAACAGCUUGCAGUGGACGUAAGAAGAGAUCUAUCCUGACAGAUCCGAUAUCUGAGGACAGGGGGGAGAUAAUACCAUCCAGUCAAUUCAAAUCUCCUCUCAGUGAAGUUGAGAGUGGUAAAACUGAGAAACAUUAUACUGGCCGAGAUGCUCGUUUAUUCUUACUUUCUACAUCAACAUCAACUAUCAUCGUAACAUCAACAAGUACAACGACAUCAUUCACAGGAACUACCACUUUAAGUGUUCUAUGCAUACCUACCUUCUCCGCUUGUGGAUAAAUCGUUUGUUAUCGUUAUUCUUCUGGUUAUCAUGAUGCUUGACUGAUGUGAUUCUAACAGAGAUGUUAAAACGUUAGCUGUUGCUGAAUUAUUAGAUUAUUUGUUUAUUUCAUAAAUUAUUUGUUCUUAUUAAUCGUGUUAUUAUGUUUCAAUGACUGAUGUGAUUCUAACAGUGAGUUUAAUAUAUUGUUAUUGUUUUUUUCUUCGGAUUUUGAAAGUUUAUCUUUUUUCCUAAUAUAAUGCACAGUGAAUUAUAAAUAAAAAUUGUGUACGCUCA